UACGUAGGAGACGAGCGUUGUCCGGAGUUACUGGGCGUAAAGGGUGCGCAGGUGGCGGCGCGCGUGGGGGGUGAAAUCGCCCGGCUUAACUGGGCGGGGGCCUUCCAGACGGCGUGGCUUGAGCAGCGGAGGGGGACGUGGAAUUCCGGGUGGAGCGGUGAAAUGCGUAGAGAUCCGGAGGAACACCGACGGCGCAGGCAGCGUCCUGGCCGCUUGCUGAACACUGGAG
rnacentral:rRNA from 1 species